CUCCCACCAUGUCCCCGCAAACAGCACUGAAUUUAUUUCCAGGCAACCAGUGAGCAAGGCUGAGAACUUGUCCCAGGUUACGAGACUCCCAGGUACAGUCAUGUGCCGCAUAAUGACAUUCAGUCAAUGACAGACUGCAUAUAUGAGGUGGUCCUGUAAGGUGAUAAUGGAGCUGAAAAAUUCCUACUACUGAACGACAUCAUAGCCAUUGUAACAUCAUAGCACAACCAAUCACCUUUUCUAUAUUUAGGUACAACACUGAAGGCACCGCCCAUGAAAG
rnacentral:lncRNA from 10 species